rnacentral:misc_RNA from 1 species
GAUGAAGAACGUAGUGAAAUGCGAUAAGUAAUGUGAAUUGCAGAAUUCAGUGAAUCAUCGAGUCUUUGAACGCACAUUGCGCCCUCUGGUAUUCCGGAGGGCAUGCCUGUCCGAGCGUCAUUGCUGCCCUCAAGCACGGCUUGUGUGUUGGGCUCCGUCCCCCGAUCCCGGGGGACGGGCCCGAAAGGCAGCGGCGGCACCGCGUCCGGUCCUCGAGCGUAUGGGGCUUUGUCACCCGCUCUGUAGGCCCGGCCGGCGCUUGCCGAUCAACCAAAUUUUUAUCCAGGUUGACCUCGGAUCAGGUAGGGAUACCCGCUGAACUUAAGCAUAUCAAUAAGCGGAGGA